rnacentral:lncRNA from 1 species
ACACAACAUGCUGUUUAGGUACCGAAAGGGCGUUAAUAGCAAUAUUAGCGUAACCCAAGUCCCCGAACCUGGAUAUCUGGUUGCGUAGGAAUCGAGGGAACACUCCCGACCCUCGAUUGGGUUUCUAGCCGACCCCCAAAGUUGAGGCUAGUGGCGACUCCCGUCUAUUUUUAGGUUGUCAUAAAUAAGUAGAUCGUAUAAAUAAAUCCGUUGUCACGCGGGGUAUGAGUUUCGAUGAAACUCACUAUGGUUUAGCAUACUCGAUGUGGGGGUAGCCCAAAGGAUGAAGUGAUGCCAUCCUAAUGGGUGGAGCGUACUAUCGAGAGGGCUACCAUGGUAAAAGUACCCUUAGAUUCGAUAUCCACAUUCGACUCCCUUUUUUAGGUGUGUCGCUUAUGUGGGUAUGGAUCGCGACAUUCCGCUGUCACGCGGGGUACGAGCUUGGGAGAGCUCGCGAUCUCGUAGAGGGAACUCAUGAGAGGCUUGAUCCAAAAGGCGAGGUGAUGACGUUGUUUGGAAUGCAAGCCGUGAGGGAACUUUCGUGAUCAUGUACCCCUAAACCCGACCUUUCCCAACCUUGGAUACCAUUUCGAGGGGCGGCAAGAUCGGGUCGCGACAGGCUUGGCGACUCCGCUGGGGACUGGUUACUAGGUUAAGAGGACUUGAAGCCGUUUAAAAAUGGUUGUUGUGUUUUAACUGACAUGUCUCUUGAAGGAUCGUCUGCAUGUCAAAGUCACGUGGAAAAUCAGGUUAGUCGCUAAUUUUUUGUUAAAUGGUUUUGUAGGUGGGAGUUAUAAGGGGAGGCGUGCUUGUAAACCAUUUGUUUUGCAGGUGGUGUAAGGAUGAAUGAAUGUAUGUGGGUUUAUAUUGAAGUGCUGGAUGUUUAAAUUUAAAUGCAUGUUUACCAGCUUUAGCACGACACCGCACACACAACCGCGGUCUAAAACCCCGAUCGCCCAAUUUAGGACCUUAGGAGGGUUUAUGGGUGGAAUCUGCGAGUGGAUGCUCGUGGUAAUCCAUUACUUACAUAAACCCGCUCAUUCCAACCGAUAAAAAUAGCACUGACCGACGAUAGUAGCGGUGGGUAAACUAUUUUUAUCCUUUGGAAUGAGGACCUUGAGCCUUUAGUACCCUCACCUUAGGCGUCAAAACCUCACAAGUUUCAUGCGACAUGUGAUUUCUGCUUGCCAUGUGUUUGGUGGGUAAGUGAUCGUUCCUUUUUUAUCGUCCUUAUCUUUUUACUUUUCAUAUUUCAAUUGUGCGUUUUAUAUUCCAACGACGAUAUGUUUAAUCAUGAGUGCCCCUUUAGGUUUAGGCUUAGAUGGGUAAACUUGAAGUGGAUGUGAUCCCAUGCUUGGGAAUCUCAAGACUAUUGGUGAAUCUCGACCCAAGACAUCAAGACUGUGGAAAAAUUCCCGAGCCUCAAGGAUUUCAGGGAGCUCAUAUUAUCAAACAAGAAGACGAUGCCUUGAUCGAUGAGGAACGCUUGGCCCAUGAUAACAAGCGUCUCCACACGAUCCCACCUAGUUCUUAGGUUUCGAAUUCAUAUUUCUUUUCUUGUAAAGGGAAUUCUUUUGUGUUUCCCUCAUUUCUAUCAAGGUUUCCCUGUAUUCAUUUUUCAUAUUCCUUGUAAAUCGAACUACUUUGUAAGCUUCAAGAAAGCAAGAUUAUGUUUCCCUUGUAAUUGUUCGAUUGAAAUGAAUGAAAUUCAUGAACAUUUUCAUGUAAUUUUUAGAAAAAGGGGCAUUCUGAUUAAAUAUUUGUCGUCGUUCCUUUUCAAUUGUAUAAUUUCUUUUGAAGAAAUUUUGAUAAGAGGAGGUUAUAUGAUAUUGGGAUCAUAUACACUUCUUAUCAUUAUUUCAUCUCAAGAAAAUAUAAAAUUGACUAGGAUUUGUACUUUAAUGGUUUCUUUUGAUUGGUACUAAUUCGAGUCAUUUUCUUUCACAGGUUUUGAAAAAACGGCUGAAGAAAGAUUUGUUAUACGAACUCGCCGCCAAACAAAAAUGGAAAACGAAGAUACUCGAGCCCGUGUCAUUAAUAUGGAGAAUCAAAUGGCACAAAUGAUGACAUUAUUGGCUGAUCUCUCUAGCCAGGUCAAAAACUUGACAUCUGUAACUCCUGUUUCUUCUACCAUGAAUAUUCCUACCGCGCCCCCCGAAGUGUCGGUAGUAGAGCCUGUGGCAAAAGGGCCUGUAGAAGAGAUCCCCACUGCAAUCCCGAUAGUUAUCGGUCCAGAGCCUCCGUCUAAAGACAUUCCAACUUCGCACUUUGAUGAAGAAAAUGCAAAGCGCCUCGCUAAGAUUGAAGAACGCCUUUGCAUGCUGCAAGGCUACCAGUUGCAGGGGCUUGAUAAACUGUCACCCUUUGCCAAAAUUACGGUCCCUGAAUUUUAUAAGGAGCCGGAGUUCACAAGAAAAUAUGAUGGCAUCGGAUGUCCUAAGACACAUUUGAAGUACUACUUGGGCAAGAUGGCCCGUUAUUCAGAUAAUCCCCCACUAUUGAUCAAUUCAUUUCAAGAUAGUCUGGUUGGUCCUGCGUUAACCUGGUUUAUAGAGUUGGACAUGGAGAAAGUCCGUACUUGGGAAGAUCUCGUUGAUGAAUUCCUUCAGCAAUACAAAUUCAAUACUGAAAUUGCUCCGACUCGAGAGGAAUUGGUUCGGGUUGAGAAAAGAAGAAAUGAAUCAUUUAGGGCUUACGCUCAAAGGUGGAGGGUCAUUGCGUCUCAAGUGAAACCGCCAUUGUCUGAGAAAGAGACCAUGAAGUUGCUACUUCAAGCUAUGCCCCGUGAUUUUUUCGAAAAGAUGUACAACCAUACUUGUAUGAACUUUGCUACAUUUGUAGAGUUGGGAGAACGCAUCAAGGGGAUCAUGCGGGAAGGAAGGUUGUUCGAGAACACAAAUCGUCGAUAUACCCCGAAGAGGGAUAAGGAAUCGACUGUGGAGAUCGCCUAUGUACACAAUUCCUCUUCUCAGAAGCCAUACAACCUUCAAGCUCAUAAACCUGCCAUGGAAGUAGGGGGAUCUUCCAGAAACUUUGAGCGUAAAGGAAAGGCCCCUCAAAGGCAAUUUACUCCAUUGCCUAGGCCCAUGUCCCAACUACUUCCAAUGCUGAUCGAAAAUCAUCUUGUGGCAAAAGAGAUCCCAAGGGAUAAUCCACCAAAGUUUGCCGGAUUCGACCUUAAUAAGACAUGUGAGUAUCAUAUGGGUGAAAAAGGUCAUCAUGUGGACAACUGUUUGAUGCUUCGUUAUAAGAUCCAGAAUUUGCUGCAUAAAAAGCUGCUCACCUUUAAGGACUCGGGACCGAAUGUCCAACAAAAUCCUCUUCCAAAGCAUUCUGAAGAUGUCAACAUGGUCGGCGCUAUCGAUGGAAAUGAAGAACCCAUAGUUCCCAUUGUAUAAGGGAUGUUUCUAGUUCUUGCAUUUAAUUUUUAGUUGUAUUCGAUUCAUUUCUCCCCUGCGAGGGAAUUUGAUUCAUUUCUCCCCUGCGAGGGAAUGUCAUUCAUUUCUCCCCUGCGAGGGAAUUCCUGUCAUUUCAUUCGUUUGUACUUGUAAUAAUCUGGAUCAUAAACUUUUUGAUCCAAGAUGAUAUUCGUUGUAAUGCAAUUUUCGCAUAUCAAUAAAAUUCAUGUUUUGUUAAUAGACGUGUGAGGCCGAAACCAGUCCUAUGAUGAUGCUUUGAGGCUUGAGCCUCCACACGAUCUAUAGUUUCAAAAUGUUUUAGUGGAACGAUGACGUCCAAUGACAUGAGGGCUAGUUCCCAAUAAAUUUUUCAAAAAAACAACUUGAAUUUGAAAACAAAUUUUUCAUGUCAUUUACAUUCAUACAUUCAUUCAUAUGUAUAUAUACUAAUCAUUUUUCAAUUACAUCUCAGGCAUGACAUUUCACAUCAUGAUAGUCAUUUGCAUGGCUCGGAUUCGCAUUCAAAAGACUUUGACGAACCCGAUUAUUCUGACUCAGAGAAUGAAGAUGAUCCUCGAGGUAUUGAAAAAGAAUGGCUAAGACAUAAAGAGUCCAAACCUUCUACCAACGAACAGCCAAUCACUCUAAAUUUAGGUUACUCAGAUAACCCUAAAGAAACCAAGAUUGGGGCAAGUCUCUCUCAAGCGGAUGCCAAUGGAUUAAUUGGGCUCUUGAAAGCAAUAUAUGAAGGAGAGUGUGGCACUCAUAUGAACGGUCAUCUCUUGGCUAGAAAAAUUAUGAGGCUCGGUUACUAUUGGUUGAUCAUGGAAGCUGAUUGUAUUUAGCAUGUGAGGUUCUGUCAUCAAUGCCAAGUCUAUUGAGACAGAAUCAAUGCUCCUCCUGAUGAGCUACAUCAAAUGUCCAAAUCCUGGCCUUUUUCGAUGUGGGGCAUCGACAUCAUCGAACCAAUUGAUCCUAAAGCAUCGAAUGGACAUCGUUUUAUCUUGGUAGCCAUUGAUUACUUCACUAAAUGGAUUGAAGCCAAUUCUUAUGCCCAUGCUACUACAAAGAGUGUGGCAAAAUUCAUCCGUUGUGAUAUCAUUGCUCGAUAUGGAGUUCCUGAAGCGAUCAUCACAGAUAAUGGAUCAAACUUGAACAAUAAAGUGGUGGAUGAUUUACUUGGAGAAUUCCACAUUCGCCAUUUGAAUUCUUCUCCCUACCACCCACAAAUGAAUGGAGCUGUGGAAGCGGCAAACAAAAACAUUAAGAAGAUUUUAGCCAAAACGAUGGAAAAUUAUCGUGAUUGGCAUGAUCGGUUGCCAUAUGCUUUGUUUAUCGAACUUCAAUUCAUACUUCGAUUGGGGUAGCACCGUUCUCAUUGGUUUAUGGGAUGGAAGCUGUAUUACCCGUGGAAGUGGAAAUUCCUUCACUGAGGGUACUUUCUCAAAUCAAGCUCUCUGAAGCUGAAUGGGUUCAACAAAGAUUUGAACAACUUAAUAUGAUUGAUGAAAAGAGGGUAAAAGCCUUAUGCCAUGGACAAAGCUAUUAGAAGAGAGUAGUUAGGUCAUUUAAUCGCAAAGUUAGACCAAGGCAUUUCGAGAUUAACGAUCUUGUCUUGAGGAAGGUUUUACCUAUCAUUCCAGAUCCUCGUGGGAAGUUUGCUCCAAACUAUGAAGGUCCAUAUAUUGUAAAGAAGGUGCUACCUGGUGGGGCACUAAUCCUUGUAGAAAUGGAUGGUCAUGAAUUGCCAAGACCUGUAGAUGCUAAUGCUGUCAAGAAGUAUUAUCCAUGAAUAAAGUGAAAGGCCUUUGAGCCAUUUUUGGAUUGAAUCUGAGCCAUUUUAGGAUGUUUGCAUCAUGCAUUUUCAUGCAUACACAUUGCAUCUGCAUAUUUGUUCAUUUUGCAGGAUCUCUAACGAAGAUUCUACCUAUCCGCAAGAGGUUCAUUUCAAGAGUGCAAAAUUUCCAAAAGUGUCCAUUUUUCUUUAGAACUUAGAAGUGACCAUAUGCCUUAGAAUGCCAAAAAGUCAGUUUAAACUUUAGAGUCGGUUAGAACUCUAGAAGUACCGUUAGAACUCUAGCAAUGAACUUAUGUGCUAAGCAAAGCCUGUUCUAUCUACAAAUUUUGUUCAAUCUUACUUCCAAAAUCUCCUUAGUAGGGUCAAGGAAACAUGUCCUUUCAGACAAAAUUUCAUUAUAUUUUCAUUUCUCCAGGGAGCUGAAUUUAACCAAAGUGAGUUUUGGAAAACCUGAAAAGGAUUGUUAACUAUGCCAGGUGGUAAUGCCUAAAAUGAUGAGAGGCAACCCCUUUACCAAACACGUCCUUAUACACUCAUUGAGAGAAUUGAGUGAAAAGAACCAUGUUUUAGGUCAUAGGAUUCAUUCACAGUGAAUACAUGAUUUGAGAUGAUAAAGGCAUUUCAUUUCUCAAUCCCGAAACACUAUUGAUAUCCCUUGCAAGCCACUUUGAGCCAAAUAGGGAGUAUUUCCAAAAUAACCCUGUCAAGAACAACCCCACAUUGGGGCAAAAUAGGGGGUCUUGGUUGAAAAUUAUGGAGCAAAAGAUUAAGAAAGAUUUUAUUGCUUUCACUUACAUCAAUCUUCUUGUGUUAGCUUUAGGUGAUUUCUUGUUGAAACUCGAAGCAUCCCAAAGUGACGAAGAGCAUUCCGUUCACUACCAUAAACACAAUUAUCCAUUGCUUAGCCAAUUUGAGCCAUAUGCAAUUCUUUCAUAACCCCAGGUGAUGAUUAUCUCCCCACACUGGGGCAAGGCACAUGAUUUACCAACAAAAUUGAGAAUAUUGGUAAUGUUUGUAAAUGCCACUCGAGAGUCCUAGAUACUCAAAAGAGGAUGAAAACUAGGGGGCAUGAAAAAGCAGUGUGCCUGGUAAAAACAAUGCCAAUGCCCAUGAAAAAAUGCAAAUAAAAGCAAGAAUGCAAAAAAGAGCGAAAUCCAUGAUCAUGCAAAAGAUCAUUCGUUGAAAAACAAAAGAAAUUUCUUGCAAGAAAAAACAUGUAUUGCAAGCAAUAUCAUUAGAACAGAGAGCGAAGCUCUCAUGUCUCAAGACAAAUUAUCAAAAGGACUCUCGAGAUAGGUUAAAUUUCAAGAGUUGAAUUUUUGAAAAAAGUCGUGUGAUGGUAAUGAUGCCAAGAUAAUCACUCACUUUUAACCCUUCGAUAUUUGAAAAUUUUUCAAGCCUUUUCAAACCUCACCUGAACCAACACUACAACCCUUAUCCGAAGUCUCUUCCGAUUGGGAUGGUUCGAGUUGAAAUGAGAAUAUCACAUAGGAGCUACCGCUAGAAGGAGUAGAAGCAAUCCUAUCUUAUCUUAUCUUCAAGGUUCUUGACUUGUAAACCCGAUGAAGAUAUUGAUUGCAUAUUCAUUUCUUGGCCUCAAAAUGCAUACCCUUUGUAUAAGCCCAUGACCAAGCUAUCAUUACGGUCCAUUUAAAAGACCUUUUGAUCAAUGGAUUGUAUUCACUGUGAAUGUUUCCAAAAGCCAUAGACAUAGGUUGAGUGAGACUUCUCUAGUGAGGAUUAAACAGUUUUCCCAUAUCAAUGGUUGGGAACAAAAGCCCUUUUUGAGAGUCAGUGUGAAAGACCUUUUUUGAUUAGGAUAUUUCCACUUGGCAUAUUUGACUUAACCUUUAGAUGGUUAAUCAAAUCUCAUUUUGUUAAAAUCCCCUCUGAAAGGAUUUGAUAAUUGGCAUUAUUUUGCAAGAUUGGCUCUCAAGUAAUCUUGAAACUCUUUUUCAAAAUAUUUGUUCCUUAGUGAACCGGUUUUUGGUCAUCCUAAACCAUGUCAUUGUCUCUCAAGUUCUAGGUCAACUUAAAACCUUGUCUCCAAGUUCUAGGUCAACUUAAAACCUUAUCCCCAAGUUCUAGGUUCUCUUAAAACCUUGUCUCUUAAGUUCUAGGUUAUCUUAAAACCUUGUCUUUUAGGUUCGUGGGUCUAUCCUUAAACCACUAGGUUCGUGGGUCCAUCCUUAAACCACACUAGGUUCGUGGGUACAUCCUUAAACCACACAGUAAAACCCUUUUCCUAGUCGAAACCCGUUUUUACACGGUGAGACUAUCGCAUCUAGUCAAAACCCGUUUUUACACGGUGAGACUAUCGCAUCCAGUCGAAACCCGUUUUUACACGGUGAGACAUCACAUCUAGUCAAAACCCGUUUUUACACGGUGAGACUUUUCUCUUAGUCGAAACCCGUUUUUACACGGUGAGACAUCACAUCCAGUCGAAACCCGUUUUUACACGGUGAGACAUCACAUCUAGUCGAAACCCGUUUUUACACGGUGAGACUUUUCUCCUAGUCGAAACCUGUUUUUACACGGUAAGACAUCACAUCCAGUCGAAACCCGUUUUUACACGGUGAGACAUCGCAUUCAGUCGAAACCCGUUUUUACACGGUGAGACAUCACAUCCAGUGAUACAACUCCCCCAGUCGAAAUCCGUUUUUACACGGUGAGACUUUUUCUCCUGGUCGAAGCCCGUUUUUAUACGGCGAGACCUUUCUCCCAGUUUAAACCAUACGGUUCGUAGGUUAUCCUUAAACCUUUCCUUUUCCAUUUAGUGAUUUCAUUGUUUUCAUUCCAUUCCAUGAGAGAGAGAAACAGAAAUAGAGCGAAUAAACCCCAACAAGAGUUCAGAUACCCUGACGAGCAAAGGUAAGUAUCAGGUACGUCCCUAACCAACCGUCAUUACUUUCAUCGUUGUUUUUUCUUCAAAGCCAGGCUGACUAAAAAUUUCGGGUAUCAAUUUUGUCUUUGAAUGGAACCUCUUCGAGCUCCCACCCAAAGAGGGGCAGCUGUUGACACCCGAAAUUUCCGUCGACAUUUUAAUCCUCCAUUUUGCAAAAAUAUAAAGAGCCAAAAAAAUAAAAAAAAAAUGAUGAAAAUAAAAAGAAAAAAAGAAAACAAAAGAAAACAAAGAAAACAAAUGAAAUAAAAAAAUAAAUAAGGAAAAACGAAAAAAAAAAGGGAAAAAAGAGAGAGAGAGAAAACAAAACAAAAUAAAAAGAAAAAAUGAAAUGAAAUGAAAAGCAAAAGGAAAAUUAGAGCAAAAGAAAACAAAAAAAAAAAAGAAAAAAAAAACAAGAAUAUAAAAGGGGGGGACUUCGCACAGACUUUCUCGCUCCGGAGACGGUUUCUCUCUCUCCUGGCACGAGCUCUCUCUCUCUCUCUCUCUCUCUCUCUCUCUCUUUGGGGGGCUCACGAACUCUCUGGGGGAGGACGCUCUCUCUCUCUCUCGCUCGAAAAAAAAAAGGACGAAGAAUCAGAGGGGAAGAAAGGGAAAAAUCGGUUAGGGCUCGGGUGGUCUUCGGAAAACGGAUUCUCCUCUGGCCGGCGGUGGCAACAAGGGGGGCGGACUCUCGUUCUCGAAUGGAGAUUUCCUCCUCUGAAAUGCUCUAAAAAACCGGAGAAAAUAGAGGAAUCACAGGCGGAGGAGUUGGAGGUGAGGGUUUUCCUCCAUGGGUGCGCGAUUGGAGGUGUUUCCUCUAUUCGGUGAGGAGUUUGCUCGGGGGAUCCGGUUUCCGAAACUGAUCGGCAUCGGUAGCAGUGACGGCAGCAACGGCAGAGCUUGAUUCGACCUCUUUCGUUCGUUAUUAACGGCCGGCUCGCUUCGGUUCGGACUUGGUGCUCCGAGCUCCGAGCUCCGAGGAUAGAGAUCUGAAGCUCGAUCAACGGCGGCUCUCUCUCGAUCUCUACCUUCUUCAGACUCCCUCAAACCUUAGAAGACAGAGCGAUUGCCGAUCGAAGAGUUGGAGGUGCGAGGCUCGGAUUCGCGCCGAGUUCGGAGAAAGCUCAGCAACGAUUUCCCUUUGAAUCGAGUCAUUUCCGAGGAUUUUUCCUCUUAGAUCUCGGCAAGUUUCAUUCAGAUUACUGAUUCGUUUUCUCUAGUAAAGUUUUUUUUUAGAAGUCAUCUCAUAUCCUCCAUUCCUUGCUGUUUUCUUUUGCUGGCGCCGAGCAUGUAUUUCCUCUCGCUGAUUCAACCAUUGAAAUCGCCGGCUAUUCAUUGAAGUCACCGAUUCAAUCGAAAUCUCACAAGGAGUUUGGAUCGGUCAUUACUCAAAAACAGAGACAAUCUUUUCAGAGUUCUUGAAGAAGCUGACUGAUAAAGCUGUUGAGGUAUGAAUAUCUGUGCUUGAAUAUGUCAAGACUUUCCUGCUGCGAAAUUCUUCUAGAGUUUAAAUCUUCUCAAAUAAUUGAUGCCUUAUGCGAUUGAUGGAUGGAUUAUGAUGAAAACGUGAGAAAGCAAGUUGUCACUGUUAUUUGCGAGUGGGGUUUACUUGACUUUUGUUCAGCCUAAUGUUCACCUUCUGUUGAAUAGAACUAUUCUAUUCUUCUCUUUUGAAAAGACUAAAAGAAACCAUUUAUACCUGUUCAUACUGUUCUUCAAUAGCAAGCAAUCGUUCGAUCAUACUCAUACCAAAUGUUUGAUCCCGCUCAGUUAAGUCUUCACAACCUGCAGAUAGCAUUAUUUGUCUACUGCGUUUUUCAUUUGGUUUAACUGGCAAAUCAAGAAUAAAUUCCAGCGGGUCCUUUCUAAUGAAGAGUUGUCCUAGUAACAAGUAUUAAAAAGGUGCUAUGGCCUCGUUCCCCCUUUAGUUUUUUUUUUUUUUUUAUGUUUUCAUCAUUGCAAAUCAAGCUGUACAAGCUAGACAUGCACCAGAAGAAUGUUGUCUCGUUUUAGUAGAAAUUAGUCCUCUGCUGCUGCUGUGUUCUUUUUUUAGAAUUCCUUGUUCAUAAUAUGGAAUGUGUUCUUUGCUAGAAAGUUGUGAGUUCAUUGGUACACUUCAAUCUGGAUUGCUUUCUAUAUUUUGCCCCUUGAUGAGCUUGUAAUUGUCAGUAAACCGAUAUGGUUGUGCGGCCAUUGGAAGAGUUUUUUUUUAUGCUCCUUUCUAGAAACUGCUGUCUUCUAUCGGUUGGGGUUAGUUGUUUGAAACAUGAUAGGCAAGCUACAAUUUUUGAUUUGGUUGUGUGUAUACCCAAUCGUGAUUUGUUCAUUUCUUUUUGCGCCUCUUUCGAUUUGAUUUGUGUAAAUGAGGUGUAUAUGUAAUGCAUGAAUGUUAUAUAGUCUCAAUGUAAGACAUGAAGAAUCAGCAUUGUUUGUAUCACUGUGCUUGCUGCCAUCUAUGAUUGUCUAGCUCGCCACGAAUAUACAUGUUACAUUGUGGUCACCUUGUUGUGUUUGUUGAGAAUUGCGUCAAUUCUUUGUGUGUUGCUUCAAUUCAUGACGAUUUGUCAUCAAAUAAUCACAAUUUAUAGUCUCAUGGGUUCUUUUACAAUUCUGAUUGCAUGCUGGAAUUUGUGGAUUAAGCAUUGAUUAGAUGGACAUACAUGUAGCAUGAACACGUUCAAUGAUGCAUAUUGUUUUGUGAAUGAUCUUUUGUCACCUAAUUCAUUUGCUUGAUUGAUUGAGAACCAAGGUUAUAUGACUUGAAUGUCUGUCAUAUUAUAUGCCUUGCAUGUGAUCAUUUGAUGAAUGGUUUUGGUGUGACACAUAUCAAUGCUGAACUUUAGGAUAUCACUCGAAACUUGAUUCCGUAUUGUACUUCUUUUAAACAAUUGUUUUUGAUACGAUGUAUUGUUUUUGGUUGCUUGAUGUGUUUGAUUGUUUCUUUUAUUUGUACGCACCUAGUUAUAGGUUUUCUUAGAUUAGAUUUAGAUUAGAACCUCGAAGGUGUAAGGCGUGAAGAUGGUGAAGGUCGAUGUCCAUUCCGACCAUUGUCAUGUACUUUUUGUUUUCCCGAUAUAUGUCUCGGGUUCUAUGCAUUGUAUAAAACCCGACGAGUUGCGGGUUUCCUUUCUUUCUCGAUUGUUUUCUUUUUUAUAUUCUUUAGAAUUGCAUGAUUAGGUUUAUUGUUUUCUAUUGAUUGUUUACUUCAUGUCUUGUGCUUUCAAUUUCAUUGAUUGUUUCCUUUUUUUUUUUUUUUUUAGAAAUAGAAUAGAAUGAAAUAAAUCUGCUACGCAUGAUCACUUAGUUUAGGAAUUGAUGAUCCUAAAAAAAUGUAAAAAAAAAACGCAUGGACAUGUUAGGAACAACACAACAUGCUGUUUAGGUACCGAAAGGGCGUUAAUAGCAAUAUUAGCGUAACCCAAGUCCCCGAACCUGGAUAUCUGGUUGCGUAGGAAUCGAGGGAACACUCCCGACCCUCGAUUGGGUUUCUAGCCGACCCCCAAAGUUGAGGCUAGUGGCGACUCCCGUCUAUUUUUAGGUUGUCAUAAAUAAGUAGAUCGUAUAAAUAAAUCCGUUGUCACGCGGGGUAUGAGUUUCGAUGAAACUCACUAUGGUUUAGCAUACUCGAUGUGGGGGUAGCCCAAAGGAUGAAGUGAUGCCAUCCUAAUGGGUGGAGCGUACUAUCGAGAGGGCUACCAUGGUAAAAGUACCCUUAGAUUCGAUAUCCACAUUCGACUCCCUUUUUUAGGUGUGUCGCUUAUGUGGGUAUGGAUCGCGACAUUCCGCUGUCACGCGGGGUACGAGCUUGGGAGAGCUCGCGAUCUCGUAGAGGGAACUCAUGAGAGGCUUGAUCCAAAAGGCGAGGUGAUGACGUUGUUUGGAAUGCAAGCCGUGAGGGAACUUUCGUGAUCAUGUACCCCUAAACCCGACCUUUCCCAACCUUGGAUACCAUUUCGAGGGGCGGCAAGAUCGGGUCGCGACAGGCUUGGCGACUCCGCUGGGGACUGGUUACUAGGUUAAGAGGACUUGAAGCCGUUUAAAAAUGGUUGUUGAAUUUCUCCAACUCCUUGCUCAGUUCCUUCAGACGCAUUUUGGUCACCAUUUUCAGACCUACCACCAUAUGAUCGCAUGGUCGAACACAAAAGAUUUGUGGAGGCUGAAUAUUCAGAUGUCUGAAUAACUUCGUAAUAAGGCUUGGAUAAGAGAGUUGACCUAUGUCCUUCAUCAUUGCUCUAUACAUGUGAAACAUCACAGUGUGAGGGAGAGAAAACCUUUUUCCAAAGAGAAUGGCAUACAUCAGCUUGGCCUCUGAACUUGAAACAUCAGUCUUAGAAGUUGAUUUCGGUCCGAGUCAAUUAAUCACAAUCUUGUGAAGCAAGAUGUUAAAUGCACCCAUCCUUAAGUAGGUGAUAUUUUCAUCUGUUUUUCUGUCCUUCACCAGUUCAAGUAUGGCCCGAGCAAUGGAAACUUUGAUUGGCUGAUAUCUUCCUCUUUCUACUUCUAACACAUCUGCCAGCAUAUUCAUAUCCACAACAUAGUCUUGGUCUUUAACGCUGAAAGAGAAUCUAUUCGCAUCCAAAAAGCUUAGAUUUGAAUAAAAAUAUGCAGUUAAUUCAGCAUAUGCCUCUAUAGAGUCAGAGCAGAACUUUUCAAGUUGAAGAUAACUGAACUUUUCCCUCAAGUUCACAUUCACAGCAUCCAGAAAAUCAAAAUCCACACUCCUGGGGUUUAUUACCCCCACGCUUCAGCAAUUUCGAGUACAGAUCCUUUUGCUCCUUUGAUCUGAACAAAUCUCCCCUUUUUCCUUGAUUUUCAACUGCAACACCCAUUUUCGGUUGAAAUUGACUGUAUAAUUUAUCAUCAUCAUUCCCAUCUACAG